GUUUUUAUGGUGUAAUAAACACGCUACAUUUUCAUUGUAAAACUAAAGGUCCUAACCCUUUUUAAAACA
rnacentral:tRNA from 1 species